AUUGAACGCUGGCGGCAGGCCUAACACAUGCAAGUCGAGCGGAUGAAGGGAGCUUGCUCCUGGAUUCAGCGGCGGACGGGUGAGUAAUGCCUAGGAAUCUGCCUGGUAGUGGGGGAUAACGUCCGGAAACGGGCGCUAAUACCGCAUACGUCCUGAGGGAGAAAGUGGGGGAUCGUCGGACCUCACGCUAUCAGAUGAGCCUAGGUCGGAUUAGCUAGUUGGUGGGGUAAAGGCCUACCAAGGCGACGAUCCGUAACUGGUCUGAGAGGAUGAUCAGUCACAUUGGAACUGAGACACGGUCCAGACUCCUACGGGAGGCAGCAGUGUGGAAUAUUGGACAAUGGGCGAAAGCCUGAUCCAGCCAGGCCGCGUGUGUGAAGAAGGUCUUCGGAUUGUAAAGCACUUUAAGUUGGGAGGAAGGGCAGUAAGUUAAUACCUUGCUGUUUUGACGUUACCAACAGAAUAAGCACCGGCUAACUUCGUG
rnacentral:rRNA from 1 species